rnacentral:rRNA from 1 species
GACGGAGGAUGCAAGCGUUAUCCGGAAUGAUUGGGCGUAAAGCGUCCGCAGGUGGCAGUUCAAGUCUGCUGUCAAAGACCGGGGCUUAACUUCGGAAAGGCAGUGGAAACUGAACAGCUAGAGUAUGGUAGGGGCAGAGGGAAUUCCUGGUGUAGCGGUGAAAUGCGUAGAUAUCAGUCGGAACACCCAUGGCGAAGGCUGCUGCCUGGCCUAAUACUGACGCUGAGGUGCGAAAGCGUGGGGAGCGAACGGG